UACGUAGGCGGAAAAUUAAGUCAGUAGUGAAAUCCUGCAGCUUAACUGUAGAACUGUUAUUGAUACUGGUUUUCUUGAAUAUAGUUGAGGUAGGCGGAAUGUGUAAUGUAGCGGUGAAAUGCUUAGAUAUUACACAGAACACCGAUUGCGUAGGCAGCUUACUAAGCUAUGAUUGACGCUGAGGUACGAAAGCGUGGGGAGCGAACAGGAUUAGAUACCCUGGUAGUCC
rnacentral:rRNA from 1 species